CAGCAGCCACGGUAAUACGAAGGGUGCAAGCGUUACUCGGAAUUACUGGGCGUAAAGCGUGCGUAGGCGGUGAGUUAAGUCUGCUGUGAAAUCCCCGGGCUCAACCUGGGAAUGGCAGUGGAUACUGGCUCGCUAGAGUGUGUCAGAGGAUGGUGGAAUUCCCGGUGUAGCGGUGAAAUGCGUAGAGAUCGGGAGGAACAUCAGUGGCGAAGGCGGCCAUCUGGGACAACACUGACGCUGAGGCACGAAAGCGUGGGGAGCAAACAGGAUUAGAGACCCCGGUAGUCCCUGUCUCUUAUAA
rnacentral:rRNA from 1 species